AGCUUUGUGCAGUGGCAGUAUCACAGCCAAUGAGCUUUCUCUGAGGCAAAAUUAUUGCUAAUUGAAAAUCGUGCCCAAUACCCCACCAUGAUGACUUGAAACAGCUGGCACUGGCAAUUUUUGGAAGUCUCUAUGGAGA